rnacentral:rRNA from 1 species
AUGGGCGAAGCCUGAUGCAGCACGCCGCGCUGAGCGAUGAAGGCCUUCGGGUCGUAAAGCUCUGUCCUCAAGGAAGAUAAUGACGGUACUUGAGGAGGAAGCCCCGGCUAACUACGUGCCAGCAGCCGCGGUAAUACGA